rnacentral:rRNA from 1 species
CCUACGGGAGGCACCAGUAGGGAAUCUUCGGCAAUGGACGAAAGUCUGACCGAGCAACGCCGCGUGAGUGAAGAAGGUUUUCGGAUCGUAAAACUCUGUUGGUAGAGAAGAACGUUGGUGAGAGUGGAAAGCUCAUCAAGUAACGGUAACUACCCAGAAAGGGACGGCUAACUACGUGCCAGCAGCCGCGGUAAUACGUAGGUCCCGAGCGUUGUCCGGAUUUAUUGGGCGUAAAGCGAGCGCAGGUGGUUUAUUAAGUCUGGUGUAAAAGGCAGUGGCUCAACCAUUGUAUGCAUUGGAAAUUGGUAGACUUGAGUGCAGGAGAGGGGAGUGGAAUUCCAUGUGUAGCGGUGAAAUGCGUAGAUAUAUGGAGGAACACCGGUGGCGAAAGCGGCUCUCUGGCCUGUAACUGACACUGAGGCUCGAAAGCGUGGGGAGCAAACAGGAUUAGAUACCCCUGUAGUC